AUGAGAGGCUCGUCGCAGAAGGAUCUCGCCGUCUUCGAUUUCAGCGAAGAGGAGGCAGCCGUGGAGGCGGCGGCUGGGAGAUUCACGGCGAAGUUGCAGUCCAGAUUGAGGCCUAGGAUGGACGACACGGUCAACAAGAACCAGUUCCUCGAGGCCUACACGUCAGGCUUGACUUUCAAGGGUGAUGUGACCAACAUCAUAUGUGUAGAUAUGCACGAAAGAGACAAUGACACAGGUUCCUAUGCUAUCGAUGGACCAGAGCAGGGCCUUGCUUUGGGUGAUGAGAAAGCAGAGUUGGAUGAAAUCAUGUCUUCCUCUACAAAAUAUGAUGAGCAUGAUCAGAUUUUUCCAGAUAAUUUUGAAGAUGAAAAUCUAACGAGGAAGGAUACUAAGGCUGUUGGAGAUUCUGUUCUUCAGAACCCUAUAGGCAACAAACAUUUCUUGGACUUUCCUGCUGAUGGGAUGGCAGUUGAUGUGGUUUCUGAAGAUGAAGAAAGCUGGUCCUUGAUGUCUGGAUCUGAAUCAAGUACUGCUUCUGAUACUCCAGAGGAUGAAGGCCAGAUGGAGUGCCCAGAGUUGGAAAAUUGUUAUGCUGCAAUGGGAGAUGUGCAGUUUAACAAUCAGAUGUCAGUCAUGAUCUACCCUGACUAUGUCAUACAUGGGAACACUUUGUAUGGAGAUUCUCAGCUUGUCUUCUCUUCAGAUUGCAUUAAGAUUGAGUGUUCAGAUGCAAGUGGAAGUGAUGAAAAGUUUGCUUCUGAAUGGGCUGUUUCUGAUAUAGUUCAUAUUGAUUGUCGGUGGAGUGGAACUGUAACUACUGCAUUGGUUAAACUUUGCCUUAGAGCAAAUGAUGUGACUAAAAGUGAGAAACAUCAUAAUGUUUCUGAUGUUUUGAAGGUAAUUUUUUCUGUGAACGACAUGCGUUGGUUGGAGAAGGAACACAAGAUUAGAAAUCUGGCAGCAAGAUAUAGAGAUAUAUGGAAUGCAAAUUCUGGAGAUAUGGUGUGGGAAGAUGACUCACUGGAUCCUAGUGCAUUAUUUUCAAGGGACUACUUCACAGAUCUGCUUUGCUUCAGAAUUGCAGAUUCCGUUGUAGAUGUUGUGUACCCUAAAGGCGAUCCUGAUGCUGUUUCUAUAAGUAAAAGAGAUGUUGAUCUAUUACAACCUGAGACAUUCAUCAAUGACAACAUUAUCGACUUCUAUAUCAAGUACUUGAAGAACAAGAUUCAACCUGAUCAGAAGCAUAGGUUUCAUUUCUUUAACAGCUUUUUCUUCCGUAAGCUAGCAGAUCUUGACAAGGACCGGGGUUGUGUCUCAGAAGGCAGAGCAGCUUUCCUGCGUGUCCGUAAAUGGACUCGGAAAGUAAAUAUAUUUGAGAAGGACUACAUAUUCAUACCUGUAAACUUCAACCUGCACUGGAGUUUGCUCAUUAUUUGUCAUCCAGGAGAAGUAGCAAACUUGGAAGAUAAUGAAAUUGAUUCUGACAAAGUGCCUUGUAUAUUACACAUGGAUUCUAUCAAGGGCAGUCAUAGUGGUCUUAAGAAUAUUAUCCAAAGUUACAUGUGGGAAGAAUGGAAGGAGAGACACCCAGAAACAACUGAAGAUGAUUCUUUGAAAUACUUAAAUUUAAGAUUUGUCUCGCUUGAGUUGCCACAACAGGAGAAUUCAUUUGAUUGUGGUCUCUUUUUACUCCACUAUGUUGAGUUGUUUCUGGAAGAGGCUCCUGUGAGUUUUGACCCAUUCAAAGUCACCAAGUUCUCCAGCUUUCUCAGUGCUGAUUGGUUUCCACCUGCUGAGGCUUCUCUAAAGCGUUCUCUUAUCUGGAAGCUGAUAUAUGAACUUAACAACCCUACUCAGAAAAUUAAUACUAGCACAUGCAGCAAAGUGCAUCCUUCAUCCUCAGGGUAUCCUGAAAUUAACGUUGAGCAAGAACAUGUAGAACUUCUUUCUGCACACUGCAGCCCAGCCAAAGGAUUAGUGGGUGAUGCAGUAUGUCCUGAUGCUGGAGUUGGAAAUGAAUUUGGACAUCUGGCAUCAUCUUCUGGUACCAAAUGUGAUGAACAAACAAGAUUGAUGAUUCCAGAAUUUCUUGAACCAGGAGAAAAUACAAUGUCUUCACCCAAGCAUGGAGCUGAUGUUCACCAGCAUACUGCAACUUCAUCAAACCUGUUAUUUGUUUCAUGCCCAAUAUUGGAGCAUGCUGAUGGAAGGGAACAUUUAUCUUCCUCUUGCCUGGGGAAAGAAGAUUGUCAGCCACAGGAUGGAAGCCCUAAUGCCCAGUUUUGUAUGAACUCUAUGAAUGUAACUAGUGCCAAUGUAACACCCUGGAGCACUGCAGAUGAAAAGGAUGCAGAUACAGAUCUGGCAUCUGAAUGCAUGAAUUCCAACAGUAUGAAUAUCGAUCAAAGAGAGCAAGAUGAAAAAAUGAGGUUGGCUUCACCAGAGAAUUUUGGUUAUGUUCCAGAGAGCCCUACUUCGUCUCCUAGAGAAAAGCUGGAUGGUUUUGUUAAAGAUUCUCAAGAAAAUGAUGCAUCUAAAGCAGAGGGCACAGAUUGUGAAGGUUCUCUGAGAAUUUGCACCGGGGAGACAGAUUGUCAGAUCAUAGAUGGUGGGGACAUCGGCACACAUGCUUAUGGGGUCAGUGAUGUUACAGAUUGUAUGGUAAUGGAUGGUAGGGGAACAGUGGAUGGGCAUGAUGAGUGCAUCGAACUUGGCACCCAAGAGAGUGGAGAUGGUGAGGAUUGCCAGGAAACUCGUUCUGAAGCCAGACAGGAUGAUAACCAUCAGGAAACCCACAGCGUGGACAUCAGUAGUGGCGAUGGCAACUGCAAAGUGAAUUUGCCUUCUUCAUUUGAAGAUAUCAUCGUUACUGACGAUGUGAAGCCUUUGGACAAGGAUGAUGUUCAAGUGAUAGGGCGAAUACUAGUGCGGCAGCCACACAAGCGGCGUAAGGUCACGAUCCCUGAAGGAACUAGAAUGCGCACCCGGAGCUUCACCAGAGAAAGCCAUAAUAAUGGUACAUGACUCUCUCAAUCAAAUAGGUCAUCAUUGGUUUGUUUUGUAGCAACAUGUAAAUAAUUUUGCAAGAUAUCAAAGACUGGAAUUGGUGCUUUAUAGAAGAUGGAAUUUCUGCAGUAACUUCCAUCCAAUAUCCUUGGCUACGUUAAAAAAUAGUCCCCGAGGAUUUCUUCUAUAGUUAAUUGGGUUUUUAUACAUAAAUACCAAAUGACUUUCUGCGAAUGGUUACAAGCGGAUGUGUAUACACACGACGUAUAUGUUGCACAUGGAAGGGUUUCUUGACAUUUCAGGGUUAAGGGUGAUCUCUGAUGUAAUGGUAAAUAUUGCUCAGUUGUAGUUUGGAUGUUGGAUUCAUGUCAUGGUAAUCUUGAAACAAGGCUGCAGACAUUGUUCCUUCCGGAUCCUGUAUUGAUGGGAUUUCUGUGCCCAUUGAGAUGAGCCUUGAUGAGUGCGUCGAACUUGGCACCCAAGAGAGUGGAGAUGGUGCAGGACAGCGUUUGUUUUGUUUGAUCAUAUGUUGGUGUGAGGUAUUUUAUAUGUAGGUGCAUCCGUCAUCCAUGAUCAUAAAAUUAUUUUCAA